rnacentral:rRNA from 1 species
GACGAACGCUGGCGGCGUGCCUAAUACAUGCAAGUUGAGCGCUGAAGGUUGGUACUUGUACCAACUGGAUGAGCAGCGAACGGGUGAGUAACGCGUGGGGAAUCUGCCUUUGAGCGGGGGACAACAUUUGGAAACGAAUGCUAAUACCGCAUAAAAACUUUAAACACAAGUUUUAAGUUUGAAAGAUGCAAUUGCAUCACUCAAAGAUGAUCCCGCGUUGUAUUAGCUAGUUGGUGAGGUAAAGGCUCACCAAGGCGAUGAUACAUAGCCGACCUGAGAGCGUGAUCGGCCACAUUGGGACUGAGACACGGCCCAAACUCCUACGGGAGGCAGCAGUAGGGAAUCUUCGGCAAUGGACGAAAGUCUGACCGAGCAACGCCGCGUGAGUGAAGAAGGUUUUCGGAUCGUAAAACUCUGUUGGUAGAGAAGAACGUUGGUGAGAGUGGAAAGCUCAUCAAGUGACGGUAACUACCCAGAAAGGGACGGCUAACUACGUG